GCUUAUGAAGAAUUUAUUUCAAAUCCAAGACUUUACGUAUCGAACUAUUACAAAAAUUGGAGAAUAGGAUCUAGCAGUAAAAAACCGACAUUGAAAAGAAAUUUAACGAAAUAAAAGCAAAACGAAAUGAAAAAAUCAAACGAAUAACACCUGCACAUCAUUCGAUCUCCUUCCUGUCAACAGUCACAAAAUGAUAUCUUACAAAUUUAAGCUAUUUUUAUGAAGGUGACGAAUGUGAAAUGAAAGUAAUUUUGAACGGAAUGUUUUGUACAGACAAAAUAGAAUUAUUAAGGUUAAAUAAGUAAUUUAGAUCAAUAUCUCAAAAGCAAAUUGCUUAAAAUAUUAUGAAUAAAUUGAUUACUCAGACAAAA